rnacentral:rRNA from 1 species
UACGUAGGGUGCAAGCGUUGUCCGGAAUUAUUGGGCGUAAAGAGCUCGUAGGUGGCCUGUCGCGUCGGCUGUGAAAAACUCGGGGCUCAACUCCGAGCUUGCAGUCGAUACGGGGCAGGCUAGAGUUCGGCAGGGGGAGACUGGAAUUCCUGGUGUAGCGGUGAAAUGCGCAGAUAUCAGGAGGAACACCGGUGGCGAAGGCGGGUCUCUGGGCCGAUACUGACACUGAGGAGCGAAAGCGUGGGGAGCGAACAGG